rnacentral:rRNA from 1 species
GUCUUUUUGAGUUAUUUUUAAAGUCUAACCUGCCCACUGAGUUUUAAAUGGCCGCAGUAUUUUAACUGUGCAAAGGUAGCAUAAUCAUUAGUCUUUUAAUUGAAGGCUGGUAUGAACGGUUGGACGAGGUAUAAGCUGUUUCAUAUAAAAUUAUAAUAGAAUUUUAUAUUUUAGUUAAAAAGCUAAAAUAUAAUUAAAAGACGAGAAGACCCUAUAAAUCUUUAUACUUUAGAUAAUUUAAAUUUUUUGGGUUUAUUUUAUUUUUAUUAUAUUGAGUAUUUUGUUGGGGUGAUAUUAAAAUUUAAUGAACUUUUAAUUGGGGGUUUAAAUCAUUAAUUUAUGAAUUGUUGAUCCAUUAAUAGUGAUUAUAAGAUUAAGUUACUUUAGGGAUAACAGCGUAAUUUUUUUGGAGAGUUCAUAUCGAUAAAAAAGUUUGCGACCUCGAUGUUGGAUUAAGAUAUAAUUUUAGGUGUAGUCGCUUAAAUGUUAAGUCUGUUCGACUUUUAAAUUCUU